rnacentral:rRNA from 1 species
GUGCCAGCAGCCGCGGUAAUACGGAGGGUGCAAGCGUUAAUCGGAAUUACUGGGCGUAAAGCGCACGCAGGCGGCUUGUUAAGUCGGAUGUGAAAGCCCCGGGCUCAACCUGGGAAUUGCAUUCGAUACUGGCAAGCUAGAGUAUGUGAGAGGGGGGUAGAAUUCCAAGUGUAGCGGUGAAAUGCGUAGAGAUUUGGAGGAAUACCAGUGGCGAAGGCGGCCCCCUGGCACAAUACUGACGCUCAGGUGCGAAAGCGUGGGGAGCAAACCGGGAUUAGAUACCCUGGGUUAGUCUCACCGCCGUUAACGAUGUCUACUAGAUGUUCGUGGUCUUGUACCGUGAGUAUCGCAGCUAACGCAUUAAGUAGACCGCCUGGGGAGUACGGUCGCAAGAUUAAAACUCAAAUGAAUUGACGGGGGCCCGCACAAGCGGUGGAGCAUGUGGUUUAAUUCGACGCAACGCGAAGAACCUUACCUACUCUUGACAUCUACGGAAGUUAGCAGAGAUGCUGAUGUGCCUUCGGGAACCGUAAGACAGGUGCUGCAUGGCUGUCGUCAGCUCGUGUUGUGAAAUGUUGGGUUAAGUCCCGCAACGAGCGCAACCCUUUAUCCUUUAGUUGCCAGCACGUAAUGGUGGGAACUCUAGGGAGACUGCCGGUGAUAAACCGGAGGAAGGUGGGGACGACGUCAAGUCAUCAUGGCCCUUACGAGUAGGGCUACACACGUGCUACAAUGGUACGUACAGAGGGAUGGCAAGCUGGCGACACGUGAGCGGAUCUCAUAAAGCGUAUCGUAGUCCGGAUUGGAGUCUGCAACUCGACUCCAUGNAGUCGGAAUCGCUAGUAAUCGUGAAU